rnacentral:antisense_RNA from 1 species
UUCUAUGGCGGGCUUGAGCGGGGACGCCUCCGGGCGUGCCGGUGUCCAAUGAGGCCGGUCUGCCACCUCGUUCAAUGCCCCGCCGCCCCC